GAUGAACGCUAGCUACAGGCUUAACACAUGCAAGUCGAGGGACCGGCGCACGGGUGAGUAACACUUAUCCAACCUGCCCUUUACUCUGGGAUAGCCUUUCGAAAUAAAGAUUAAUACCCGUUAUAAAGGAUGGGGUUGCGUUCCAUUAGGUUGUGGGUAAGGUAACGUCCAAGCAAGCCUUCGUUGGAUAGGGGUUCUGAGAGGAAGGCCCCCCACGUUGGAGCUGCGGCCCGGUCCCAACUGGGACGCGAGGGAGGAGUGAGGAAGAUUGGGCAAUGGGCGUUAGCCUGAACCAGCCAAGUAGCGUGAAGGAUGAAGGCUUAUGGGUCGUAAACUGCUUGUAUAUAAGAAUCGGUAUUAAAUGAAUAAGGAUCGGCUAACUCCGUGCCAGCAGCCGCGGUAAUUC
rnacentral:rRNA from 1 species